rnacentral:rRNA from 1 species
UACGUAGGAUGCAAGCGUUGUCCGGAAUUACUGGGCGUAAAGGGCGAGCAGAUGGCAAGUCAAGUCUGAUGUAAAAUCUCCCGGCUUAACUGGGAGGGGCCAUUGGAAACUGGCUAGCUGGAGUGCAGGAGAGGCUAACGGAAUUCCCGGUGUAGUGGUGAAAUGCGUAGAUAUCGGGAGGAACACCAGUGGCGAAGGCGGUUAGCUGGCCUGUAACUGACACUGAGGCGCGAAGGCUAGGGGAGCGAACAGG